ensembl:lncRNA
UCCAUUUCUGUGCUCUGUAAGUCAGGAAUAGAGUGACCUCUGUGAAUAAGGUUUGAUGACAUUUACCAAGUCAGGCCUCACUGGCAGACAGCAGGAGAAAAUACUCCAGGAACAUGCUGCUGAUUUUCCCACUUUUCCUCUGUUUCUUUGCUCGGACAUUCUGGUGAAGAGCAUCCUUACAGAGAAGCAGCACUCAAUAAUAUUGUGAAGGCCAGAUGAUAAAUGUACAGAGUGCGGAUGGAGGAAAAUGGUGCAAUGGCUGCUUCUUCACUAAAACCUUCUGUCAUGAAUGUCCCAUUUACUCAUGGUACGGUAGCUGACCUGUGGGCUUCAGUAGUGUUUGGAGGACGUCUCUUUUCCAGUUGGAGUUAUCAAUCACCGUAUUGUAAUCUUUUAAUGUAC